UACGUAGGGUGCGAGCGUUAAUCGGAAUUACUGGGCGUAAAGCGUGCGCAGGCGGUUUUGUAAGUCAGAUGUGAAAUCCCCGGGCUUAACCUGGGAAUGGCAUUUGGGACUGCAAGGCUGGAGUUUGGCAGAGGAGACUGGAAUUCCCGGUGUAGCAGUGAAAUGCGUAGAUAUCGGGAGGAAUACCGAUGGCGAAGGCAGGUCUCUGGGCUAUAACUGACGCUCAUGCACGAAAGCGUGGGGAGCAAACGGG
rnacentral:rRNA from 1 species